GAAACGGAGCGGCACCUCUUUUAACCCUUUGAAGUCACUGCCCGUUUCGAGAGUUUCUCAACUCGAAUAAACUAAAAGCCAACGUGAACUUUUGCGGAUCUCCAGGAUCCGCU
rnacentral:other from 1 species